rnacentral:rRNA from 1 species
UACGUAGGGUGCUAGCGUUGUCCGGAAUCAUUGGGCGUAAAGAGCUCGUAGGCGGUUUGUCGCGUCGGCUGUGAAAACUGGGGGCUCAACCCCUGGCCUGCAGUCGAUACGGGCAGACUAGAGUUCGGUAGGGGAGACUGGAAUUCCUGGUGUAGCGGUGAAAUGCGCAGAUAUCAGGAGGAACACCGGUGGCGAAGGCGGGUCUCUGGGCCGAAACUGACGCUGAGGAGCGAAAGCGUGGGGAGCAAACAGG